rnacentral:rRNA from 1 species
ACGUAGGGGGCAAGCGUUGCUCGGAAUUACUGGGCGUAAAGGGUGUGUAGGUGGCCGAUUAAGUUAAGGAUGAAAUACCCGGGCUCAACUUCGGAACUGCAUUUGAUACUGGAGAGCUAGAGUGCAGUAGAGGAAAGCGGAAUUCCCAGUGGAGCGGUGAAAUGCGUAGAUAUUAGGAGGAACACCAGUGGCGAAGGCGGCUUUCUGGACUGUAACUGACACUGAGGCACGAAAGCUUGGGGAGCAAACGG